rnacentral:rRNA from 1 species
ACGGAAGGCAGCAGUGGGGAAUAUUGCACAAUGGGGGAAACCCUGAUGCAGCGACGCCGCGUGAGCGAAGAAGUAUUUCGGUAUGUAAAGCUCUAUCAGCAGGGAAGAAAAUGACGGUACCUGACUAAGAAGCCCCGGCUAACUACGUGCCAGCAGCCGCGGUAAUACGUAGGGGGCAAGCGUUAUCCGGAUUUACUGGGUGUAAAGGGAGCGUAGACGGCAAGGUAAGUCUGAAGUGAAAUGCCGGGGCUCAACCCCGGAACUGCUUUGGAAACUAUCUCGCUCGAGUACCGAAGGGGUAAGCGGAAUUCCUAGUGUAGCGGUGAAAUGCGUAGAUAUUAGGAGGAACACCAGUGGCGAAGGCGGCUUACUGGACGGUAACUGACGUUGAGGCUCGAAAGCGUGGGGAGCAAACAGGAUUAGAUACCCUGGUA